rnacentral:miRNA from 14 species
AAUGUAGGAUUUCCAAUUAAACAUGAAUUUCAGAUAAACCAUAAUUUUUUUUAGUCUAAGUAGGUCCCAUGCAAUAUUUGGGACAAACUUAUACUAAAAAGGUAUUCAUUGUUUCUCUGAAACUCAAAUUUAACUGGUCAUACUGUAUUU